GGUUGACCUCGGAUCAGGUAGGAAUACCCGCUGAAC
rnacentral:rRNA from 3 species